rnacentral:sRNA from 1 species
AUAAACAUUAUUUGCAUUUAGUAUAAUUCUUAACAAGAAAUUUUAAGUAUUCAAUGAUCAGAAAUUUUGCACUGAGAAAAAUAGAAAUGUUAAGAUAUUUGUUGUUUAAAAAUUUAGCAGAGAGGGAGAUGUUGAUGGAGGUAUUCCUCUAGCUUAGGAAUAUAGUAUAUUCCUUAUAAUUAUUUUGCUUGUACCAACUUUGUUUUCAGCAUAUUUGAAGUGUCUUAAAGCACUGACACUUUCUUUCUCUCCACAUAAAUUCUAAUUUAUCAGGAGGUCCUUUCCUAAAUUAGGUAAAAUGUAGUGACAGUUUCGAAAAUACAUUCAAGUAUAAAACCAGUGGACCAAUGUUAUCUCAGGAUGAAAUCAUAGAUACAUACUUCAACAAAGGUGUACACAGGCUAAAGUGGGAAAGUGUAUUUUAGUUUUCAUCCAUUUCCAACAAUGAGAGGCGUGAAUGCUUAUGCAAUACAGAAAAAAUUCUCCUUUUUCAGUUCUAAUUUUUUAUCCUUAAAAAAUCUUUUGGGGUGAAUUCUUGAAUCACUGAUUUAUAUUAUUCUUUUAUUUCUUCUGCCUGCCUUCUCCUUCCCACUGUCUUUCACCCCUGCCCUCUGAAUCCUUCCCUGCCUCCUAGAAAUAGCCCUUAAUGCUCUUUUACCUCUCCUCAGCUAAGUCAAAUUUUUACUAGUAGAAGCAGGGUGAAUACUGUGAAGACUAUAUCCAAACUGAGAAACCUCUAGCUAAUUUGGUCUUGAAAAAACAAACUAUCCACUUCAAGCUGACCUGCUGUUUGGCAGCCGGAAAGCUAUUUACCAUAGCAAGCAUGAAACAUAUACGUUGUUAUGGUAUGCCAACCCCAGAUAUCCUCUCAGGCGGUCAGUCGUCUGUAUUACAUGGUCUUGGCAAUUUCAGACCUCACAUUUUGCUCUUUAUUUUAUUUCCAUUUGGACAAUACUCAGUUACCUUCUUAACCCAUUUGACAUCUGGAUUAUUAAAACCAAAUCCAUGGAGAAAAAUUCAAUUUCUGUUGGCACAGUAACAAGUGCUUUAGAUAUGUUACCUCAUUUAAUCUUUAUAUAAUGUGCAUAUAAUAUCCUCAUUUUGUAGAUGAGAAAAAUCAAGACCUAAUGUCUUUAAAUGAAUGAAGAAACUCAGUUUUUAAAAAUGUAUAUAUUUAAAGUAUACAACUUGAUGAUUUGCUGCCCUCUUAACAAAUUUCAAGUAUUGUUAUCUGUAGUCACGUUGCACAUGAGAUCGCCCAAGAACCAGAGAAUUGAAGUAAAGUGUCCAAGGUCAAAUAGUUAAUGGCAAAGCUGGGAUUAAACAUAAGUUUAUAAUUCCAAAGUCUAUGCCCUUUACCUGUAUCAUCAAUCAAUAACUGUUCAUCAGUGAAGUCAACUGUAUGUCUAUUCUUUAUACCUCAGUUUUGGCAUAUGCAUUGUACAGAUCCACAUUAAAUGAUUUGAUCUGUGUUUCACUUCUGUCUGUAAAAUGGGUAUAAAGAGACCUACUUUGUUGGAUUAUUAUCAGAAUCAAAUGAGAAAACAUACAUGUAAAGUAUGUGCCUGACGCAAAGUCAGUCCUUGAUAACCUGUAGCUAUCAUUGUUAUCAGAGAAAAGAAAAAUACAGACAUAUAAAUCCUAUGUUUGUUCUCUAGAAUUGAUGAAAUCAAAAGUUAAGUCUAUAAAUAUCUGACCUGUCUAUUUGUUACCAUGAUUAUUGGAGACAUUUGCCAUUUCUUCAGUAGUGCAAGUUAUUAGUUACCAUAUAAUAGCCACAAAAACCAAGGUGAUAGACCUACUUUCAUUAUUCAAAACAUGUAGGAAAAAUUGUAUACAGUUUUAGGCACAACACUCUAAAGGGAACAUUGAAAACUUGAAGCAGGUCAAGAAGAAAAAAACUGAGGUAUUGAGAAAACUUGAAAUUAUGUUGUAGGAAGAAUGUUGGAGGAACUGCAGAUGUUUACCUGCGAGAAGAGUGAAGGGAUGGGAGGGAAGAGGUGAGGAAGUAGACAUGGAAAUUACUGUGUGGAUAUUUGCAAGGCUGCUACUAUGUAGGAGACUUAUUUUUUAUGACUGGGUUGGCAGAACUGCCCAAAGACAGAUUUUUGUCUUAAUUUAAGGAAAAACUUGUCCCUUAGAACUGUCUGACAAAAGGAAUGGAGAAAUGGGCUGCCUCUGGAGUAGUGAGUGUUCCAGCAGGGAUUGGAUUGGCACUUGUUAUUGGAGGUGUUGCAGUGAAGGUUCAUUCAUUGGAUAAGUGUUGGAUUAAAUGACCUCCAGGUUCCCCUUUCAACUCAGAAAGUCAGUGACUUAAAUUCUGAUCCCUACUUACCAAUAAUUACUGAAUACAUUUGACAGUGAUGCAUUCUUUUGUGUUGCCUGUUCUUCCAAUUGUUAUUUCCUUGGUAACACCCCUCCCGCCCCUGGCAGGUUGUAACAGUUAUGAUAGCAAUGAUUUGUAGUGACUGCCAACCCUCAGGGAACCAGGAUACUAUAGAUUCAUAGGGUUAUAAGGGAACUUAAAGGUCAUUUAGUCCAGUCUUGUAGACUUGAUUCUCUAGGGAUAUCUGGCCACUUUUUUAGUGGGUAUUUUUAAAGACAGUUAGUUUAUAAUGUUACUCUAAACUGACUUGAUUUUUUAGUAAAAUUGACUGGUAUCAGAAAACUGGUGUAAGAAAGCUGGCAUGUGGGAAGUACUCUUGGAAGGGAACAAGAUAACAGCUGUCCACUUCUAAAGGUCUUGUAGGUUUUGUUCUCUGGCAUCAUUAACAUUAGCAGAGUAAUACAAUAGUAAUAACCUUACUAGGCCUAAUUAGUUUUUUUCUGCUUUCCUUAUCUCAUAUUAGUGAGUUUUCAUAAAAAUAAGAGAAGAUUUUAAUGCUUUUUUUCCCUCACAUUGUCAAUUUGGGACACUGGCCAUUCCAGUGAUGGCUGUCAUUGAGCCAGGAAUCUUGUUUUCAAGAUUAAAAUUUUAUCGUUUGUAUGUAGAUCAUUAGAAUACAAAAUGCCCUCCCCCCCUUUUGCCAUUUUUGCUAGAAUUGGUGUCAGAAUAGAUUCAGUUAGGAGCAAAGUUCAGACACACAUGUUGAUUCAGGGAUCAGAGUCCAACAGGUAAAAGGCUAGAACUACCGUAACAAAUCAAUGCUGUUUUAUUUUUAUGUUGUGUUUAACUAAAGGACAUUCUGUAUUGACAGGCCACAUUUGUGCCGUUUCUUUUUUAGACUAAUAAUCAUUAUUGGAGAGGAAUUGUUUGCUAAUGUAACUACUUUGUGGAUUAUAGUGUUAUUGUCUGAUAAUUUUUCAGUAUUUUUAAAUUUUUAGUUGACUAAUACAGGUGAUUUAUUUGAAACAUGUCUAUUUUGUCAUCUUUAAUAAAGUGUCUUUAUUGUUUUUACUGAUUUUGAAGGUAAUUCAUGCUCAUUGUUUAAAAUACAAACAAUUUGAAAAUGUUUAAAAUAGAAAGUAAAAGUAUUCCAGGCCCACAGGUGAUAUAAUCACUGUUAAAUUUGGUUGGCUUUUGCAAACUUACAAUACAUAUAUAAAAUUACAUGUAUGUAUAUAAUGUGCAUAUGUUUUUAACAUAUCUAUUAUACUAUGCAUACUUUUUGUAACUUUUUAAAAAUUUGAUAUAGAAUGGACAUUUUUCUAUUGCAGUACAUACAGAUAUGCUAAUGUUUUUAAACAGCUGUAUAGUAUUUAUUUAACCAGUCCUUAAUCCCUAAUUGGUGGGGAAUUAGGUUGUUUUUUUGUUGUUGUUACACAGUGUGCAUCUUUGUACAUAUGUAUCAGAGGUGCUUAUUUAUGUAUGUAAGUAAUCAAAUUCCUAAAAGCAGCAUUGCUGGUCAAAGGGUAUGUGUUUUAAACUGAUCUAUAUUGUCAGAUUUUUCUCCAGAAAAAGGUUUAGAGAAUUUUCACUCCCAGCAAUGUGUGAGAAUGCCAGUUUCUUCACUGAAACAGGCUUCUUCUCAUUAUGUAAUCAGCAUUGGUUUUUUUAAAAUGUCUGACAAUUUUUUUAAAAAUAAUUUUACUAGCUGGUCUUACAUACUAGCUCAGUUCUUAAGGUGCUAAUCCUAAUGUAAACAUGUUCUCUACAAAUGUAAAUCUUAACUUGCCUGUCUUCUGUGUAACCAAGAAAAAGAAGAAACUAGAUCAGAAACAACUAUAUUGCAAGAGAUAAUUCACUUAUAAGAGUUAAUAGUGGAAUUGCUACUUUAACUCAGUGUAACUUAGAGAAGUUUCGAUGAGACUUAAAUCCUCGGCCUUUUUGCUGAGACUCUUUGGUAUCCCUUGGCUUAUUUAUAUAUGUUUUAAAAGAAUUUAUUGUACCUGUGAGAGUGAAUUAAAUUUCUAGAGAGCCAUAAAAGUUGAAGCUGAGUUAAAUAAAAAGUUAAUUGUAUUGGCGAAUAAUUCAAAAUGUGUUUUAAGUAUAAUAGACUUUUAAAAAUCAUCUCUUUUAAAUGAACAGGAAACUCUGAUGAGGAAGAAAGUGCUUCAGAAUCUGAACUUUGGAAGGGUCCACUACCAGAGACAGAUGAAAAAUCACAGGAAGAAGAAUUUGAUGAGUAUUUUCAGGAUUUGUUUCUAUGAGACGAGAGAGAGAAGCCUCCGCUCCUUAAUGUGAAACUUCAUGAAGUUUUAAACUUCAUGCAAUUUGAAAUUCCAUAUAAGUUUUUAUCUGCAAGUUACAGAUUGUGUGGUUUGUCUUUGGAAAUAAAAAUCCAGGUUCUGUCAGAAUGUCAGAUGCUUUGGAAGUUCAUUAGUUCAAUUAAAGACUUUCCUGUCCUUUAAG